GUCUUGUGGCCACCGUGACCCUCUCCUCAUCAAACCAAGGAUUUCAGUUUUUGAUCUUGAGUUUUGGGUUUAAGAAAAGUGAAAGUAGCAAGUUCUUAGUUUCUGAUAACAGUUGGACUUUGUUGAGUGUUCCUGCUUCUUCAGUUUUGGUCGGUAUGCCUUGCUUGUUUUGCGAGGCUUUCCUUUUAGUUUUGAUUCGAUGUUUUAGACGCUCCACUAUUACCUUGUUUUAAUUAAGUUUGGAUUUUGACAAUGUAAUGAGUAUUAUGAAUUAUUGUUUUUGUUUUAAUUACUAAUGAGGAGUUUUAAACUAUCUUUUGGUUUCAUCAGUUUUGAAUAAUAUAAUAUUUCUGAAGAUUAUGAAA